rnacentral:lncRNA from 1 species
UCGACUCAAUGAUUAAAUAAUAAAGAAAUAGGCCGGGCACAGUGACUAGCACCUGUAAUCCAGCAUUUUGGGAGGCCAAGGUGGGCAGAUCACUUGAGGUCAGGAGUUUGAGACAAGCCUGGCCAACAGGUCUCUACAAAAAACACAAAAAUUAGCUGGGCAUGGUGGAACAUUCGUUCUUUGUUUUUGUUUAUAGUUUGUUGCCUAAGCAUGCAACUUUAAAUACUAGAGUCUAGUUUAUCUUCUGUUUGAAGUACAUAUUAAUAAAAUCAUACAUUCUUUUGUUUGGCUUCUUUUGCACAGGAUUCACUCAUUUUUUAGAGGAGCUUCUUUUCGGUCAUUUUCAUUCCUCUAUGGAAUUCCGUUAUGUAUAAAUCAUGAAUCC